AGCGAACGCUGGCGGCAGGCCUAACACAUGCAAGUCGAGCGCCGUAGCAAUACGGAGCGGCAGACGGGAGAGUAACACGUGGGAACGUGCCCUUUGGUUCGGAACAACCCAGGGAAACUUGGGCUAAUACCGGAUAAGCCCUUACGGGGAAAGAUUUAUCGCCGAAGGGUCGGCCCGCGUCUGAUUAGCUAGUUAGUGGGGUAAUGGCCCACCAAGGCGACGAUCAGUAGAUGGUCUGAGAGGAUGAUCAGCCUCACUGGGACUGAGACACGGCCCAGAGUCCUACGGGGGGCAGCAGUGGGGAAUAUUGGACAAUGGGCGCAAGCCUGAUCCAGCCAUGCCGCGUGGGUGAUGAAGGCCCUAGGGUUGUAAAGCCCUUUCGGCGGGGAAGAUAAUGACGGUACCCGCAGAAGAAGCCCCGGCUAACUUCGUGCCAGCCGCCGCGGUAA
rnacentral:rRNA from 1 species